CCUGAUUGAUCCUGCAUAUUCUUGUCUCAAAGAUUGAGCCAUGCACGUGUAAGUACACACAGCAAGUACAGCGACACUGUGAAUGGAUCAUUGAAUUAGUUAUGGUUCCUUUGAUUCCUCUAUCUGUUAUUUGAAUAAGUAUGGUAUUUCUCCAGUGAAUACAUGCUAACAAAUGCUCACCUCCCAGGAUGCAUGCAUUUAUCAGACCAAGACCAAUCCAUGCUCAUUCUGUCUCUUUGGUGACUCUAGCUAAGUUUGGGAAGAUCUCAUGUCUCUCUGACGGCAACAAUAGAUUCAGAUGUCUGCUAUAUCAACUUCCGAUGGUUCUUUGUGUGCCUACCAUGGUGAACAUGGGCAACAGGGAAUUCAGCUUCCAUUCCAGAGAGGGAGUCUUGAAAAUGGCUAACACAUACAAGGAAGGCAGCAUGCAUACAAAUUACUCACUCCCCACUCAGCAAGGUAGUAACGGGAAGUAUCAAUAUAGGACUCUUUCGAGGCCCUGUAACUGGUAUGAGUUCACUUUAAAUGCUUUAACGAGGAUCCAUUUGAGGGCAAGUCUGGUACCAGCCGUCACGUUAAUUCCAGCUCCAAUAGAGUAUAUUAAAGUUACUGCAGUUAAAAAGCUUUCAGUUGGAUUUUUGGAUUGAGCUGGGAGCUCGGCCCAAGGCAAGCUAAUGCAUGUCCCAGCCCGUGCCUCUCAGUGCCCCUUGAUGCUCUUGACUGAGUAUCCUGGGGAACGGAAGCAUUUACUUUGAAAACAUUAGAGUAUUCAAAGCAAGCCAGUUGCCUGAAUACUUCAGCUAGGAAUGAUGGAGUAGGAUUCCUGUUGUAUUUUGGUGGGUUUUGGAAAUGGGGCCAUGAUACUGCCGCUAGAGGUGAAAGUCUUUGGGUUCUGGGGGCAUGAAAGCUGACACAUAAAGGAAAUGAUGGAAGGGCGCCACCAGGAGUAUAGCCUGUGGCUUAAUUUGACUCAGCAUGGGACACCUCACCUGGCCUGGACACAGAAAUAAUUGACAGAUUGAUAGCUCUUUCGCAAUUCUGUGCUAUGUGGUUCAUGGACGUUCUUAGUUUUAGAACAAUUUGUCUGGCUAAUUCCGAUGAUAAACCAAACUCCUCCAUGCUAACUAGUUAAGCGACCCCCAGCGGUUGGCGUUCAACAGCUUGUAGGGACAAGUGGCAUUUGGACACAUGAUAUCAGGCAAUAACAGGUCUGAUAUGUCCAGGGCUGCACGUGCCCUACAGUGAACUGAUCAGCAUGUGUCCUCCCUGUGCCAUCAGGUUCGAGUAACCCACUGAACCACGUUCACGAUAGGGAUUGGGAAUUGAAAUGAUUUCCCACAAACAAGGAAUUCCCAGUAAGUGCUGUUCAUCUGCUAACAUUGAUUAAGUCCCUGUACUUUGUACACACCACACAUCUCUACUACCAAUUGAUGUUUUAUUAAGGUCCUCGGAUCUGCUCCUGCUGGGUCGGCAAAUGCCCUGGCAAAGCACCGAGAUGACAAUCAAACUUGACUAUCAGAGAAACUAAAAGUCAUAACAUGGUUUUUGGAGGUGAACUUGCAGACG
rnacentral:rRNA from 1 species